rnacentral:lncRNA from 8 species
AUGGAAAUCCAUAGAUGCAUUGUUAGAGGAUGCGCCAAUAAAUCGGACGCAAUUAUUCAUUACAGUUUACCAGAAGAGCCACAGAGACGUCAACUGUGGCUACAGUUUAUUAAUGCAAGCAACUCAGGAGAAAAUAUUCCAGGUGUGUCCCGUUUAUGUGGCGACCACUUUACAGAAGACUGCUUCACAAAACUUGAUCUCGGUUUCACCACGAGGUUAAUAUUAAAUCUUGACGCAGUCCCAACGAUUUAUUCCACUAAUAAAACAUCGGCGUAUCGGCAACACACAGUGUCCGCUGAGAGUGGAAAGGGGACUGGGAUGUUGGAAGUAAAAAAGACUGGCAUCAAGGAGGAGCCGGUGGACAGGGAGGUGGACUCGCAGGUGAAUCGCUCAAACAAUUUGUUGGGUACAAUCAAGAAGUCGUUUAGUUCAAUCAAAGAGGAAAAUGUUGGGGAGGACGCGAGCAUUGCAGGGACCUAUGACCAGAUUAGAGUGGUGAAAAUAGGAGACUCACACACAGGAGAAAGGAAGAAAGAGGGAGGAGAGUAUGGGAUGGAAUACUCACACUCUCACCAAGAUGAAGGAGAGGAAGGAGGCUAUGAUGCCAUGGUAACAGAGAUUCACAGGGAAGAGAGGAUGAAGGGAAAGGGCAGAAUGAAAGAAUGGAUGAUGGAGAAAAUUAAUGUGACGGAGCAUGAGGUGGAGGUGUUUGUGAUAGAAAACUCAAAUCCGGAGGAGGAAUGGAGAGAAUAUGUGUUAGGGGAGGAGGAGGAGGGAUGGAGGAUAGAGGAGAGGGGAGAGGGCAGGAUGGAAGAGAUGUGGGUGAAAAAAGGGAGACGGAAAAAGCUCCCGGGGCCGCAGUGGUGGAGAUGGGAGCAAGAGAGGAAGAAAACAGAGGAAGAUGAGUGGAAGAUGAUUGCAGAGAGGGCGAGGGAGGAAGAGCGGGAGAGACAGAAAGGUCAGACUGUGGAGGAAGAAGAGAAGAAGCGAAAGAAGAAGAGAGUGGCAGGGUUCCGCUGCCCACAGUGCAGCAACCACUUCCAGUCCCGAAGUGAGUUAAUGGAGCACAAGACCGGCUGCUGCAAUGAUGCAAAAUACACCUGCCCAGUGCCACUCUGCCCCAAACACUACACCACUAAUCGGUCCCUGAGGACUCACAUCCGCUUCCACUGUGUAAAGGAUGACAAGAAGAAGAAGAAGGCCUUGGAGACUAUCCAGAAAGCCCAGGGAGCCCAGGAGCAGAAGAUGAAGGCCUAUGAUGCUUACCUGAAAGCCCAGAAAGCCCACGAAGUGCGGGAGCAGCAGAAAAAGGCUUAUGAUGCUUACCUGACAGCCCAGGUGCAGCAGAAUCAAUACCAACCCAGCCAUAAGAAGAAAUUCUUCUGCCCACUCUGCAACAUAUACUACAGAAACCAAACUAACCUGGACAAGCACUCUCGUUGUCAUACCAGUGUCCACAAGCUGACGUUCCGCUGCUCCUUCUGCUCCCUGGAGAUCCUGAGAAAGUACACGACGAAAAAGCACUAUGACUUGGAACACCCGGGCAGGGUCCCACACUGUGAGGAGUGUGGAAAAACCUUUAACUCCAUCGACAGCUUCCUAAAACAUCAGGUUAGACACUUGUCCGUGACACCCUACUACUGUUAUGAGUGUCGCAUCUACCAGCUGACCCAGAGGGGCCUCACUGCCCACCUGAGAAACCACUCUCUCAGACGCAACCAGGAGCAGCUAGCCCAGCAGUCUGGGAAACUCUACAAACCUGAUAAAACAAUGAGUCAUAGUACAGCCCCUCUACACAACAACCCCGCCUCUCUACAAUAUAACCACGCCCAUCUACAAGACAUCAAAGAAGAACUUAUAACCAUAGAAAUAGAUUCUCAAUCUGUGCUUUAA